UUUGAUCCUGGCUCAGGAUGAACGCUAGCGGCAGGCUUAAUACAUGCAAGUCGAGGGGCAGCACGGGUAGCAAUACCUGGGGGGGACCGGGGCACGGGUGUGAGUAACGCGUAUGCAACCUACCUGUAACAGAGGGAUAGCCCAUAGAAAUGUGGAUUAAUAUCUCAUAGUUCUAUUAGAUCGCAUGAUUUGAUAGAUAAAGCUCCGGCGGUUAAAGAUGGGCAUGCGUGACAUUAGCUAGUUGGUAAGGUAACGGCUUACCAAGGCUACGAUGUCUAGGGGUUCUGAGAGGAUGAUCCCCCACACUGGUACUGAGACACGGACCAGACUCCUACGGGAGGCAGCAGUGAGGAAUAUUGGUCAAUGGGCGCAAGCCUGAACCAGCCAUCCCGCGUGAAGGAUGAAGGUCCUAUGGAUUGUAAACUUCUUUUAUACACCAAGAAAAACUCCCACGUGUGGGAGCCCGACGGUAGUGUAUGAAUAAGCAUCGGCUAACUCCGUGCCAGCAGCCGCGGUAAUACGGAGGAUGCAAGCGUUAUCCGGAUUCAUUGGGUUUAAAGGGUGCGCAGGUGGGAAAAUAAGUCAGUGGUGAAAUACUGCCGCUUAACGGUAGGAUUGCCAUUGAUACUGGGGAUCUUGAGUACAGUUGAAGUAGGUGGAAUGUGUUGUGUAGCGGUGAAAUGCAUAGAUAUGACACAGAACGCCGAUUGCGAAGGCAGCUUACUAAGCCAUUACUGACGCUGAGGCACGAAAGCGUGGGGAUCGAACAGGAUUAGAUACCCUGGUAGUCCACGCCGUAAACGAUGAUCACUCGCUGUUUGCGAUAUACAGCAAGCGGCUGAGCGAAAGCAUUAAGUAAUCCACCUGGGGAGUACGUCGGCAACGAUGAAACUCAAAGGAAUUGACGGGGGCCCGCACAAGCGGAGGAACAUGUGGUUUAAUUCGAUGAUACGCGAGGAACCUUACCUGGGCUUAAAUGUAGGUUGCAUAGAGGGGAAACUCUCUUUUCCUUCGGGGCUGCUUACAAGGUGCUGCAUGGCUGUCGUCAGCUCGUGUCGUGAGAUGUUGGGUUAAGUCCCGCAACGAGCGCAACCCCUAUCCUUAGUUGCCAGCACAUUAAGUUGGGCACUCUAAGGAGACUGCCGGUGUCAAACCGGAGGAAGGUGGGGAUGACGUCAAGUCCUCAUGGCCCUUAUGUCCAGGGCUACACACGUGCUACAAUGGCCGAUACAAAGGGCAGCUACCAGGUGACUGGAUGCUAAUCUCCAAAGUCGGUCUCAGUUCGGAUCGAAGUCUGCAACCCGACUUCGUGAAGCUGGAUUCGCUAGUAAUCGCAUAUCAGCCAUGAUGCGGUGAAUACGUUCCCGGGCCUUGUACACACCGCCCGUCAAACAAUGGAAGCUGGGGGUACCUGAAGUCUGUAACCGCAAGGAGCGGCCUAGGGUAAAACUAGUAACUGGUGUUAAGUCGUAACAAGGUAACC
rnacentral:rRNA from 1 species